rnacentral:rRNA from 1 species
UACGUAGGGUGCUAGCGUUGUCCGGAAUUAUUGGGCGUAAAGAGCUCGUAGGCGGCCUGUUGCGUCCGCUGUGAAAUCCCGGGGCUCAACCCCGGGCGUGCAGUGGAUACGGGCUGGCUGGAGGCAGGCAGGGGAGAACGGAAUUCCUGGUGUAGCGGUGAAAUGCGCAGAUAUCAGGAGGAACACCGGUGGCGAAGGCGGUUCUCUGGGCCUGUACUGACGCUGAGGAGCGAAAGCGUGGGGAGCGAACAGG